CCUANGGGGGGCAGCAGUGAGGAAUAUUGGACAAUGGGCGCAAGCCUGAUCCAGCCAUGCCGCGUGCAGGAUGACGGUCCUAUGGAUUGUAAACUGCUUUUGCACAGGAAGAAACAACGCUACGUGUAGCGUCUUGACGGUACUGUGAGAAUAAGGAUCGGCUAACUCCGUGCCAGCAGCCGCGGUAAUACGGAGGAUCCAAGCGUUAUCCGGAAUCAUUGGGUUUAAAGGGUCCGUAGGCGGUCUUAUAAGUCAGUGGUGAAAUCUCCCCGCUCAACGGGGAAACGGCCAUUGAUACUGUAGGACUUGAAUUAUUAGGAAGUAACUAGAAUAUGUAGUGUAGCGGUGAAAUGCUUAGAGAUUACAUGGAAUACCAAUUGCGAAGGCAGGUUACUACUAAUGGAUUGACGCUGAUGGACGAAAGCGUGGGUAGCGAACAGGAUUAGAUACCCUGNUANUC
rnacentral:rRNA from 1 species